rfam:Parasitella parasitica strain CBS 412.66 genome assembly, contig: contig_10956
GCUUCCGUGGCGCAAUUGGCUAGCGCGUCUGACUGUUAAUCAGGAGGUUGGUGGUUCGAGCCCACCCGGGAGCG